GGGAUUGCCUUAGUAACGGCGAGUGAAGCGGCAAUAGCUCAAAUUUGAAAUCUGGCUCUUUUAGAGUCCGAGUUGUAAUUUGCAGAGGGCGCUUUGGCAUUGGCAGCGGUCCAAGUUCCUUGGAACAGGACGUCACAGAGGGUGAGAAUCCCGUACGUGGUCGCUAGCCUUUGCCGUGUAAAGCCCCUUCGACGAGUCGAGUUGUUUGGGAAUGCAGCUCUAAAUGGGAGGUAAAUUUCUUCUAAAGCUAAAUACUGGCCAGAGACCGAUAGCGCACAAGUAGAGUGAUCGAAAGAUGAAAAGCACUUUGGAAAGAGAGUCAAAUAGCACGUGAAAUUGUUGAAAGGGAAGCGCUUGCAGCCAGACUUGCCUGUAGUUGCUUAUCUGGACUUUUGUCCAGUGCACUCUUCUGCGGGCAGGCCAGCAUCAGUUUGGGCGGUUGGAUAAAGGUCUCUGUCAUGUACCUCUCUUCGGGGAGGCCUUAUAGGGGAGACGACAUGCAACCAGCCUGGACUGAGGUCCGCGCAUCUGCUAGGAUGCUGGCGUAAUGGCUGUAAGCGGCCCGUCUUGAAACACGGACCAAGGAGUCUAACAUCUAUGCGAGUGUUUGGGUGUCAAGCCCAGACGCGUAAUGAAAGUGAACGGAGGUGGGAACCCUUUGGGUGCACCAUCGACCGAUCCUGAUGUCUUCGGAAGGAUUUGAGUAAGAGCAUGGCUGUUGGGACCCGAAAGAUGGUGAACUAUGCUUGAAUAGGGUGAAGCCAGAGGAAACUCUGGUGGAGGCUCGCAGCGGUUCUGACGUGCAAAUCGAUCGUCAAAUUUGGGCAUAGGGGCG
rnacentral:rRNA from 1 species